rnacentral:rRNA from 1 species
GCCUUAGAUGUUCUGGGCCGCACGCGCGCUACACUGAUGCAUUCAACGAGUUUCUUCCUGGUCCGAGAGGAAUGGGUAACCUUUUGAAAGUGCAUCGUGAUAGGGAUAGACUAUUGCAAUUAUUGGUCUUCAACGAGGAAUUCCUAGUAGACGUAGUUCAUCAGACUGCAUCGAUUACGUCCCUGCCCUUUGUACACACCGCCCGUCGCUCCUACCGAUUGAAUGCUCAGGUGAGCCAUUCGGACUUUCAUCAUGCUGGUUUCCAGUUUUGAUGAAGGAAAGUCUUGCGAACCUUAUCAUUUAGAGGAAGGAGAAGUCGUAACA